rnacentral:rRNA from 1 species
UCGGGAGGAAAUCUGUAGAGGUCAUACUCUCCCCGAAUACCGCUCUCGCUUCAAGAAGACAAGCGAACGUCCGCCCACAAGAUGCGUCUGCGUCGAUAAGUAAGACGGUGGGGUAACGCCCACCGUGCCAUAAUCGGUACGGUGUGAGAAGCAAGAGCCUGAGACGAAUCUGAGAACAAGAUCGGGCUACGGGCGCAGCAGCGCGAAACUUUACACUGUACGAAAGUGCGAUAAGGGACUCCGAGUGUGAAGCAUAGAGCUCACUUUUGUACACGUAAGGUGUGUACGAAUAAGGACUGGGCAAGACCGUGCCAGCCGCCGCGGUAAUACCGGCAGUCCGAGUGAUGGCCGAUAUUAUUGGGCUAAAGCGUCCGUAGCUGGCUGAACAAGUCCGUUGGGAAAUCUGUCCGCUUAACGGGCAGGCGUCCAGCGGAAACUGUUCAGCUUGGGACCGGAAGACUGAGGGGUACGUCUGGGGUAGGAGUGAAAUCCUGUAAUCCUGGACGGACCGCCGGUGGCGAAAGCGCCUCAGGAGAACGGAUCCGACAGUGAGGGACGAAAGCUAGGGUCUCGAACCGGAUUAGAUACCCGGGUAGUCCUAGCUGUAAACGAUGUCCGCUAGGUGUGGCGCAGGCUACGAGCCUGCGCUGUGCCGUAGGGAAGCCGAGAAGCGGACCGCCUGGGAAGUACGUCUGCAAGGAUGAAACUUAAAGGAAUUGGCGGGGGAGCACUACAACCGGAGGAGCCUGCGGUUUAAUUGGACUCAACGCCGGACAUCUCACCAGCCCCGACAGUAGUAAUGACGGUCAGGUUGAUGACCUUACCCGAGGCUACUGAGAGGAGGUGCAUGGCCGCCGUCAGCUCGUACCGUGAGGCGUCCUGUUAAGUCAGGCAACGAGCGAGACCCGCACUCCUAAUUGCCAGCAGUACCCUUUGGGUAGCUGGGUACAUUAGGUGGACUGCCGCUGCCAAAGCGGAGGAAGGAACGGGCAACGGUAGGUCAGUAUGCCCCGAAUGGGCUGGGCAACACGCGGGCUACAAUGGUCGAGACAAUGGGAAGCCACUCCGAGAGGAGGCGCUAAUCUCCUAAACUCGAUCGUAGUUCGGAUUGAGGGCUGAAACUCGCCCUCAUGAAGCUGGAUUCGGUAGUAAUCGCGUGUCAGCAGCGCGCGGUGAAUACGUCCCUGCUCCUUGCACACACCGCCCGUCAAAUCACCCGAGUGGGGUUCGGAUGAGGCCGGCAUGCGCUGGUCAAAUCUUGGUUCCCCAAAAGG